UACGUAGGUGGCAAGCGUUAUCCGGAUUUACUGGGUGUAAAGGGCGAGUAGGCGGGAUUGCAAGUCAGAUGUGAAAACUAUGGGCUCAACCGAUAGAGUGCAUUUGAAACUGCAGUUCUUGAGUGAUGGAGAGGCAGGCGGAAUUCCCGGUGUAGCGGUGGAAUGCGUAGAUAUCGGGUGGAACACCAGUGGCGAAGGCGGCCUGCUGGACAUUAACUGACGCUGAGGCGCGAAAGCGUGGGGAGCAAACAGG
rnacentral:rRNA from 1 species